ensembl:lncRNA
GUAAUCUGUUUUGAACGCUUCCACUGCGUUAAUUGUUUGGGGCUUUUUCUUAGCGUGUUUGUGGAUGGCUGUCAGUAGAGCUUGGAUUUCUUCCUUCGCCGAACCAGCAUUUUUGCUAUGCAUGCUUGCCUUCUAGGCAACAUUCACACUGAUGGAAGUGCUCCAUGCAGUGAGCAGCUGCCUAGUUACAAAUGACACACCUGGUAGCUGGGGAAGAAGGUGUUCUGCUGUGCCUGUUGCUCUGGGAGCUGAUGGGAUCCUGCACUGCUGGGGAAGGAGGAACAAAGCUAUCAGGUCACCUGUCUGCUUGCGGAUGAUGCUAACAAGAGACUCAGGAAAUUUUGCCAGAUGGAACUCUCAGAAAAACCAGCAGUUGUGGACAAGGGGCCUUCAGGCCUGAGUUGAGGUCUGCUCCUUUUACCAAGGCUAGUCUACAUGCUACACUUUGGAAACCAUUGCAGAAAGUCAAACAAAAUAUAUCUCGAUGUUUACUCUAUGGUGAAGAGGAGCUCCAGAAUCUAGCAAAAAGCUGUAUCAACAGAAGGUGCAAAAGUACAUUUCAAGCUCACAAUGUCACAAAAAGGUUAAAGAUCAUGUUUUACUUGUGCCAAACCAGAAAGCCCCAGUUUCUGGACAGUCCAUAUGGCAGAGCUGUGGAGGCUGGGACAUGAAAAGCCUGGUAAACUUGCUUCUCCAGUCCUCCAGAAGCCUACUUGAUGGGGUAUCAAGAAGUGGGUGUACAAAUAUAGAUGGGGACAACCUCUGAUGAGAUUAUGGCAAUUUUCAGGCAAAACUAAUUUUCUUUUUGAAGAACUGAGUGUGUGGAAAACAAAUGUUCUGUGCAAAAUGAAAGUAAAGUACUUUAUUCUCCAGCUGAGAACAUUCAGAGCCAAGGCAACUCAAAUCUGCUUCCCUAAAUUGCAGAUUUAUUACAUCUGAAGACACAAGAACUUUUGCUGCUGAUGAACACGG